rnacentral:rRNA from 1 species
AGAGUUUGAUCCUGGCUCAGGAUGAACGCCGGCGGUGUGCCUAAUACAUGCAAGUCGUACGCACUGGCCCAGCUGAUUGACGGUGCUUGCACCAGAUUGACGCUGGAUACCCAGUGAGUGGCGGACGGGUGAGUAACACGUGGGUAACCUGCCCCGGAGCGGGGGAUAACAUUUGGAAACAGAUGCUAAUACCGCAUAACAACGAAAACCACAUGGUUUUCGUUUGAAAGAUGGCAUAUGCUAUCACUCUGGGAUGGACCCGCGGUGCAUUAGCUAGUUGGUAAGGUAACGGCUUACCAAGGCGAUGAUGCAUAGCCGAGUUGAGAGACUGAUCGGCCACAAUGGAACUGAGACACGGUCCAUACUCCUACGGGAGGCAGCAGUAGGGAAUCUUCCACAAUGGGCGCAAGCCUGAUGGAGCAACACCGCGUGAGUGAAGAAGGGUUUCGGCUCGUAAAGCUCUGUUGUUGGAGAAGAGCGUACCUGAGAGUAACUGUUCAGGUAGUGACGGUAUCCAACCAGAAAGUCACGGCUAACUACGUGCCAGCAGCCGCGGUAAUACGUAGGUGGCAAGCGUUAUCCGGAUUUAUUGGGCGUAAAGCGAGCGCAGGCGGUUGCUUAGGUCUGAUGUGAAAGCCUUCGGCUUAACCGAAGAAGUGCAUCGGAAACCGGGCGACUUGAGUGCAGAAGAGGACAGUGGAACUCCAUGUGUAGCGGUGGAAUGCGUAGAUAUAUGGAAGAACACCAGUGGCGAAGGCGGCUGUCUGGUCUGCAACUGACGCUGAGGCUCGAAAGCAUGGGUAGCGAACAGGAUUAGAUACCCUGGUAGUCCAUGCCGUAAACGAUGAGUGCUAGGUGUUGGAGGGUUUCCGCCCUUCAGUGCCGGAGCUAACGCAUUAAGCACUCCGCCUGGGGAGUACGACCGCAAGGUUGAAACUCAAAGGAGUUGACGGGGGCCCGCACAAGCGGUGGAGCAUGUGGUUUAAUUCGAAGCUACGCGAAGAACCUUACCAGGUCUUGACAUCUUGCGCUAACCUUAGAGAUAAGGCGUUCCCUUCGGGGACGCAAUGACAGGUGGUGCAUGGUCGUCGUCAGCUCGUGUCGUGAGAUGUUGGGUUAAGUCCCGCAACGAGCGCAACCCUUGUUACUAGUUGCCAGCAUUAAGUUGGGCACUCUAGUGAGACUGCCGGUGACAAACCGGAGGAAGGUGGGGACGACGUCAGAUCAUCAUGCCCCUUAUGACCUGGGCUACACACGUGCUACAAUGGAUGGUACAACGAGUUGCGAACUCGCGAGGGCAAGCUAAUCUCUUAAAGCCGUUCUCAGUUCGGACUGCAGGCUGCAACUCGCCUGCACGAAGUCGGAAUCGCUAGUAAUCGCGGAUCAGCAUGCCGCGGUGAAUACGUUCCCGGGCCUUGUACACACCGCCCGUC